GUUUUACUCACCAAUCCUGCCUUCAUUCCCUCUCUCAUUUCCAUUUUUCAGUGCUUCAUCUUACUACGCAAUGCUUAGUGCUCUAGCCCCCAGAAACAAGUUGUUUCCAGGGGAAUAAAACAAAAAGAAAAAUGAAGAAACAAACAAAACCAAACCAAAAAAUCCACAUCUAUUUUUCUAUCUCUCAUGUGUGUAUUAAAAGAAUGUUUUUCACUUUCAUGGUUUCAGGGAAAACGUGAUAACAUGGUCCCAGUGCGUGUUCCCCAUAAGCUCAAAAUCCAGAAGUUUGAAGAUCCUGAUUUCUAAUCUUGGGUUGUGACUUCAGCAGGUAUGACUUACUAUUUUUCAAUUACAUUUGUUUUUCUAACAUUGCUUAACAGAUUUUUUUGGAGCAUGUGAAUACAUUCUUCCAGUGACUCCUGUUUCCUCAUAGAAAACAUUUCCUCAUUUCCUUUGUAGAAAAUUACAGUUUGUUAUCUAGCUGCUUAUGAAGAGAUGCCCGUUCCUUUUCUUACACUUGCACAUCCAGACACCUGACAUCUUCUUCCUGGUAAAGGGCUAGACAGAGACCUUCUGAGAAGCACUGAAAGAAACUUUCAUUACCACACCAGUGUUUUCACAAGUCUCCUGUGCAGUCUGGAGCCAAGUUGUCCAUACCAUCUUGAAUUUUGUUACAGGGUCUCAACCUGGCACACUGACUGAUUUUCACUUAAACUGAUGAAGCAGUCAGGUUGGAACUCAAAUUGAGAUUGAUACCUCUCGUUCAGGGGCUUAUACAUAGCUGAUGAGAACCCACCAGUAUAACUUAUGGUAUCUUAUAUGCAUUCCCAGUGCUGCCACAAGGAUAUAGCUAUCGACCCCGUGUUGCAUCUGCCACAACAGUGGGACUCUUGUAUCCGUGAUGUGUUUCAAUGGCAUUGCAUGGCCAUGUGUAUCAUGGCUGAACGUAUCUCCAGUUACUCUGUCAGAGAAGUGUCAAAAAGAAAAGGCUAAUAGGAAUAUCUGCUACAUACCCUUUCAUAUC
rnacentral:lncRNA from 1 species